UAUCCAUGGUGAGGACAUGCAUUUAAAAGGUCUUUGAAUCGUUCCCAACAAUGAUAAAAUGUUUCCACAUCCUUUUGGAAAAAAAAUUCAUAAUUUAUCUUUUCGAGGCA